CAGCAGCCGCGGGAAUACAGAGGGUGCGAGCGUUAAUCGGAUUUACUGGGCGUAAAGCGUGCGUAGGCGGCUUCUUAAGUCGGAUGUGAAAUCCCUGAGCUUAACUUAGGAAUUGCAUUCGAUACUGGGAAGCUAGAGUAUGGGAGAGGAUGGUAGAAUUCCAGGUGUAGCGGUGAAAUGCGUAGAGAUCUGGAGGAAUACCGAUGGCGAAGGCAGCCAUCUGGCCUAAUACUGACGCUGAGGUACGAAAGCAUGGGGAGCAAACAGGAUUAGAUACCCCGGUAGUUCCUGUCUCUUAUAA
rnacentral:rRNA from 1 species